ACCUCGACUGAAAGAAAAUAGACUCAAAAUAGCUAAAGAGUUGCUUCGCUUGGCCGAAAGUGUUGAAAUGCCGUAUUUGGUUUCUCCGAUUAGAAAAUAUUCGUUGUCCAGCAUACGCACCACCCAAGAAUGGUUACAAAAUGAGGUUCCUCGUUUCACUUCCAACUCACAAUGGCCACCAAAAUCUCCGUGUACCAAUCCGUUGUACUAUUGUGUCUGAAGUAUUUUGAAAAGCAAGUUUGGCACUAAAAAAUACCAAAGUUUCGAUCACCUCAAGCAAGCGCUUCGCCGGGAAUGGGCCAAAAUACCGCAGAGCAACAUUCGGGCAGCGUGUGACGGUUUCAUUGGCCGUUUGAAGGCCAUACUUCGUGCCAAAGAUGACCAAUUCGAACAAAUUUAAACUUAUUAUAAAAUUUGAUGCUAUUUCC